rnacentral:snoRNA from 1 species
AUGCAAAUGUUUUUCAUGUUCAAAGUAAACAGAAAAAGAUAAGACAGCCAACUCAUUUCUGAUGUGCUAAACAAAUCUUUGGGGGUAAAUCAGCGUAACUAAUUUAGUCAUUGCUGUCACUCAUCUCAGACAAGA